GACGAACGCUGGCGGCGUGCUUAACACAUGCAAGUCGAACGGUAAGGCCCUUCGGGGUACACGAGUGGCGAACGGGUGAGUAACACGUGGGUGAUCUGCCCUGCACUUCGGGAUAAGCCUGGGAAACUGGGUCUAAUACCGGAUAGGACCACUGCCUGCAUGGGUGGUGGUGGAAAGCUUUUGCGGUGUGGGAUGGGCCCGCGGCCUAUCAGCUUGUUGGUGGGGUGAUGGCCUACCAAGGCGACGACGGGUAGCCGGCCUGAGAGGGUGACCGGCCACACUGGGACUGAGAUACGGCCCAGACUCCUACGGGAGGCAGCAGUGGGGAAUAUUGCACAAUGGGCGCGAGCCUGAUGCCGCGACGCCGCGUGAGGGAUGACGGCCUUCGGGUUGUAAACCUCUUUCAGCACCGACGAAGCGCAAGUGACGGUAGGUGCAGAAGAAGGACCGGCCAACUACGUGCCAGCCGCCGCGGUAA
rnacentral:rRNA from 1 species